rnacentral:rRNA from 1 species
CCUACGGGAGGCAGCAGUGGGGAAUUUUGGACAAUGGGGGCAACCCUGAUCCAGCAAUGCCGCGUGAGUGAAGAAGGCCUUCGGGUUGUAAAGCUCUUUUGUCAGGGAAGAAACGGUGAUCUCUAAUACAGAUUACUAAUGACGGUACCUGAAGAAUAAGCACCGGCUAACUACGUGCCAGCAGCCGCGGUAAUACGUAGGGUGCAAGCGUUAAUCGGAAUUACUGGGCGUAAAGCGUGCGCAGGCGGUUAUAUAAGUCAGAUGUGAAAUCCCCGGGCUCAACCUGGGAACUGCAUUUGAGACUGUAUGGCUAGAGUGUGUCAGAGGGGGGUAGAAUUCCACGUGUAGCAGUGAAAUGCGUAGAUAUGUGGAGGAAUACCGAUGGCGAAGGCAGCCCCCUGGGAUAACACUGACGCUCAUGCACGAAAGCGUGGGGAGCAAACAGGAUUAGAUACCCUGGUAGUCCACGCCCUAAACGAUGUCUACUAGUUGUCGGGUCUUAAUUGACUUGGUAACGCAGCUAACGCGUGAGGUAGACCGCCUGGGGAGUACGGUCGCAAGNUUAAAACCUCAAAGAUAGUACGGCGUGAGAGAGACGACGACGACGACGAGGGAGGGAGGAGG